rnacentral:rRNA from 1 species
UAGGGAAUCUUCCACAAUGGACGCAAGUCUGAUGGAGCAACGCCGCGUGGAGUGAAGAAGGUCUUCGGAUCGUAAAACUCUGUUGUUAGAGAAGAACACGAGUGAGAGUAACUGUUCAUUCGAUGACGGUAUCUAACCAGCAAGUCACGGCUAACUACGUGCCAG